rnacentral:rRNA from 1 species
UACGGAGGGUGCGAGCGUUGUCCGGAAUCACUGGGCGUAAAGGGCGCGUAGGUGGCGCGGGCAGUCAACGGUGAAAGUUCGGGGCUCAACCCUGAAUCGGCCGUCGAUACUCCCGGGCUUGAGCACUGUAGAGGCAGAUGGAAUUCCGGGUGUAGCGGUGGAAUGCGUAGAGAUCCGGAAGAACACCGGUGGCGAAGGCGGUCUGCUGGGCAGUUGCUGACACUGAGGUGCGACAGCGUGGGGAGCAAACAGG